ACAGGUGCAGUUUAUAGAUGCAUCAUGGUAUCCAGCCCCCGAAGGAUACUUUUAAAAGUAGAUCACCAGGGGCAUGGGAAGGCUGCUACUGGGGUAUAAGCAGUCAGACUACAUCAUGGCUUGAUCCUUCUUGGGGGGAACCAGAGCAACGGUCAUCUCAAUAGCAGGCCUCAGCAAAUGUCUUCGCUCUUCCCUUCCAUCGCUGUUUGCAAAAUGGGAUAAUUCUCAGCCACCUUCAUGGGACUCCUUUUCACCCAUCUCUGGCAAGCCAGAAACUUUCCCUUUUUUUGCUCCCUCUGCCAUUUUGCCUCGAUGUGAUGAUUUCACUCCAUCUUCUGAAAAAUAAAAAUGAAUUUCAUGGCAAA